AUGCUGAUGUUAUUGCUUUCUGUUUGUUAGUUUUCCUUCUAACAGUCGGCCCCUCUUCUGUAGGUCUGCUGGAGUUUGCUGGAGGUCCACUCCAGACUUGUUUGCCUGGGUAUUACCAGCGGAUGCUGCAGAACAGCAAAGAUUGCUGCCUGCUCCUUUCUCUGGAAGCUUCAUUCCAGAAGGGCACCUGCCAGAUGCCAGCUGGAGCUCUCCUGUGUGAGGCAUCUGUUGAUCCCUGCUGGGAGGUGUCUCACAGUCAGGAGGCACUGGGGUCAGUGACCCACUUGAGGAGGCAGUCUGUCCCUUAGCAGAGCUCAAGUGCUGUGCUGGGAGACCCUCUGCUCUCUUGCCAGCCCUCACAGAUUAGCACCUGAGCCCUAGUGGGAGGAGACUGAUGUGGGUGGGGGAUAAGAGUUAAGUAAAUUCUUAGGCUAAAGGCAGCGUGAGCCACUCUACAGCACUUCCGUGUUACACACUG
rnacentral:lncRNA from 1 species